rnacentral:rRNA from 1 species
AAAGCUCCCUUCGGGGAGCAAGUAGAGUGGCGCACGGGUGAGUAACACGUAGGUAAUCUACCUUCGGAUGGGGAAUAACAACCGGAAACGGUUGCUAAUACCGCAUAAUGCAGCGGCACCUAAUGGUGACAGUUGUUAAAGCGGGGGAUCGCAAGACCUCGCGUCUGAAGAGGAGCCUGCGGCGGAUUAGCUAGUUGGUAAGGUAACGGCUUACCAAGGCGAUGAUCCGUAGCCGGCCUGAGAGGGCGGUCGGCCACACUGACACUGACAUACGGGUCAGACUCCUACGGGAGGCAGCAGUCGGGAAUUUUGGGCAAUGGGCGAAAGCCUGACCCAGCAACGCCGCGUGAAGGAUGAAAUCCCUCGGGAUGUAAACUUCGCAAGAACGGGAAGAAUAAGUCCGUGCCAACACCACGGGCGAUGACGGUACUGUUUGUAAGCUCCGGCUAACUCCGUGCCAGCAGCCGCGGUAAUACGGGGGGAGCAAGCGUUGUUCGGAUUUACUGGGCGUAAAGGGCGCGUAGGCGGCCACCGCAAGUCGGUUGUGAAAUCUCCGGGCUUAACCCGGAAAGGUCAACUGAUACUGCGGGGCUAGAGUGCAGAAGGGGCAACUGGAAUUCUCGGUGUAGCGGUGAAAUGCGUAGAUAUCGAGAGGAACACCUGCGGCGAAGGCGGGUUGCUGGGCUGACACUGACGCUGAGGCGCGAAAGCUAGGGGAGCGAACGGGAUUAGAUACCCCGGUAGUCCUAGCCUUAAACGAUGGAUGCUUGGUGUCUGGGGUUUUAUAGU